rnacentral:rRNA from 1 species
UACGAAGGGGGCUAGCGUUGUUCGGAAUUACUGGGCGUAAAGCGCGCGCAGGCGGUUUUCCAAGUCAGUGGUGAAAGCCCAGAGCUCAACUCUGGAACUGCCAUUGAAACUGUUGAACUUGAGGACGGGAGAGGUGAGUGGAAUUCCCAGUGUAGAGGUGAAAUUCGUAGAUAUUGGGAAGAACACCGGUGGCGAAGGCGGCUCACUGGCCCGUUUCUGACGCUCAUGCGCGACAGCGUGGGGAUCAAACAGG